GUGUCAGCAGCCGCGGUAAUACGUAGGGAGCGAGCGUUGUCCGGAUUUACUGGGUGUAAAGGGUGCGUAGGCGGCCAAGCAAGUCAGCUGUGAAAACUAUGGGCUUAACCCAUAGCCUGCAAUUGAAACUGUUUGGCUUGAGUGAAGUAGAGGUAGGUGGAAUUCCCGGUGUAGCGGUGAAAUGCGUAGAGAUCGGGAGGAACACCAGUGGCGAAGGCGACCUACUGGGCUUUAACUGACGCUGAAGCACGAAAGCAUGGGUAGCAAACAGGAUUAGAUACCCUGGUAGUCCAUGCUGUAAACGAUGAUUACUAGGUGUGGGGGGUCUGACCCCUUCCGUGCCGGAGUUAACACAAUAAGUAAUCCACCUGGGGAGUACGACCGCAAGGUUGAA
rnacentral:rRNA from 1 species